rnacentral:lncRNA from 1 species
AUAUAUCACAUAGCUUCUGCAACUUUGGAGAGCAGAAUUCUGGACGCAAGUUUUGGAGCAAUUCAAGUUUUAUUUCUUUUAUCUUUUUCUUGCAAUUUAUUUAUUUAUUUCUUUUGUUAUUUAAUUAUGUUUUCUAGCUAAAUUCGUUUAUUCCGGCAUUGAUUAGGGAAGCACUAGCGAAAUUAUUCUGUGAGAUCUAAUUGUUCUUAUACUUUAUUUUAUGCUUGCAUCUGCGAUUCUCCAUGUUUAAUGAUAUUAAUUGUUUUAAUCCAUUAGAUAGUUGCAAAUAUUUAUUGGGUUAGAAUUAAUUAUAUAGCCAAUUGAACCAGCCAUCCGUAAUUGUGGUUUAGGUUUGAUUAAUGGUAAAUUGACACAUCAGGGUCAAAGGAAAAGCAGUCUUAAUUCAAUAAUCCUGCGUCAGAGUUUAUUGGUUUUGAAUCGGGUUUCUCUAAAUAUUAAUGCUGUUGGCUCAUUAAACCUAUAGAGCGUCUCUUACGGUUGUCAGUCGAUUAGGGUAGUAAUUAGUGAAGCGUCUUCCUGAUUACGAAUAAUUAAGGAGAAAUAAGAUCACGUCAGAAGCGUCUUCGGUGGUUAUAACUGAUUUGUUUGCAUGAUUUAAAGUUAUUUUUGCAUCGAUGAUCGGAAUAAUUAAGCUAGGGUGGACUUAAUUGAUUGCUGGAAUUCUUUUAUUAAUUGUUGGAAUUUUUAUUCAUCUUUUAGCUAUUGGAAAAAUUGGUUUAUUCGGAUUUUAUUUAUUUAAUUUUAAGUUUAGUAUUUUCUAUAUUUUCCUCAAAAUUUCGUGGUUACUUUGCAGACUUUAAUUAGAGAAAUUCUCGCCAGUCCCUUGGGAGACGAUUUUGCUUACUGCUGUCUGCGCAGUGUGGGCAUACCGGCUGACUGCCGGAUAUUUUUGGUGUAAAACGACGCACCAUCUAUACUACUUUUUUAGAAUAAUGAUAAUUAUAGUUAUAGUUUAUUUCCUAAUCAACUAGUGACAAAUUGCCAACCCACAACAAGCCACAGGAUACAAAAUGUUGGCUGUAUAUAUAUAUGUGUGUAUAUAUUGUAUUAUCGUGUAAUUAAAAUAAUCUUUAUAAAUAUGAGUUGGACAGCAGGAU